rnacentral:rRNA from 1 species
GACGGAGGGGGCAAGCGUUGUCCGGAAUCACUGGGCGUAAAGCGCACGUAGGCGGUGCGGUGCGUCGGUGCUGAAACCGCGGGGCUCAACCCCGCGCCGCGUGCCGAUACGACCGCACUGGAGGCAGGCAGAGGGUGGCGGAAUUCCGGGUGUAGUGGUGAAAUGCGUAGAGAUCCGGAGGAACGCCUGUGGCGCAAGCGGCCACCUGGGCCUGACCUGACGCUGAGGUGCGAAAGCGUGGGGAGCGAACCGGAUUAGAUACCCGGGUAGUCCACGCCGUAAACGAUGCCGGCUCGGUGCCUGGGGCCCGUUCCGGGCCCUGGGUGCCUCAGCUCACGCGGUAAGCCGGCCGCCUGGGGAGUACGAGCGCAAGCUUAAA